CUGGGAAUGAACGAGUCUGUGCAUUG
rnacentral:piRNA from 1 species